rnacentral:tRNA from 1 species
UGCCUUGGCCUGGAAUCGAACCCGGGCCGCCCGCGUGUCAGGCGAGCAUUCUACCACUGAACCACCGAUGGU